rnacentral:rRNA from 1 species
GAUGAACGCUGGCGGCGUGCCUAAUACAUGCAAGUCGAGCGAACAUAUGAGGAGCUUGCUCCUCUGACGUUAGCGGCGGACGGGUGAGUAACACGUGGAUAACCUACCUAUAAGACUGGGAUAACUUCGGGAAACCGGAGCUAAUACCGGAUAAUAUAUUGAACCGCAUGGUUCAAUAGUGAAAGACGGUUUUGCUGUCACUUAUAGAUGGAUCCGCGCCGCAUUAGCUAGUUGGUAAGGUAACGGCUUACCAAGGCAACGAUGCGUAGCCGACCUGAGAGGGUGAUCGGCCACACUGGAACUGAGACACGGUCCAGACUCCUACGGGAGGCAGCAGUAGGGAAUCUUCCGCAAUGGGCGAAAGCCUGACGGAGCAACGCCGCGUGAGUGAUGAAGGUCUUCGGAUCGUAAAACUCUGUUAUUAGGGAAGAACAAAUGUGUAAGUAACUAUGCACGUCUUGACGGUACCUAAUCAGAAAGCCACGGCUAACUACGUG